rnacentral:rRNA from 1 species
AUGGCGGUGGAGGUCGACGGCACCCGGAAGCACGGGGCAGUGGCCUUCCUGGACGACCCCUUCGAGGUGCUGCAGGCGAAGCGGGGCCGGUGCUCACCGUCCGCCACCGCGGCCUCGGUCGCCGACCUCGGCAUCAACAUGGAGUUCGACCCCGUCGAGGCGGUCCAGUCCGUCUUCCCCGGCGCCGAUCCGCAGCUUCUGCGGGGCUAUCUCGAAGCGUCCGGAAAUGUCUUGGAUGCUGCCAUCAGAAGCUUCAGGGAUUAUUUGGCAUCGGAUUCAGCAACGACCAAUGCUGGUGCCUCCUCAUCUGGAGUGGCAUCUGAUGUGCACGUGAUGAAUACUCCAGCCAACAGGACUGAAUGGGCGAAGCUAAUUGUCAAGAAGAUGUCGUCCGCUUCAGAUCCGAAUGACGCCAGGAAUCGAGUCUUCAGGAUACUUGAAAUGUUCGACAAAUGUGCCGCAAACUGCAGUACUCCUGAUGAGGCGCAUAAAAUGCGUGAGAUGAUUAUAGCAACUAUUUUGGGCUGA